CCAGCCAUCGGUUCGAAACAGAUAAACGGCCGAGAUCGAGCAAGGGAACCACGUUCAUUGCAGUUAUUUUCCAUUCUCUAAAUGGUUCACAUCCGCCGUCGGAUCAAUCCACGUGUCGCGCAAAGACAUAAUCAAGCAAAGAGUGCGUCAGUUGCCAUAACUACACAGCUAACUGCUCGAGAAAACUUCUCCACUUCCCCGUAAGAGCGCCAUGAUUAGUACAGACAAGCCUGCAU
rnacentral:lncRNA from 1 species